ACAGCAGCAGCCACGGGAAUACGAAGGGGGCUAGCGUUGUUCGGAAUUACUGGGCGUAAAGCGCACGUAGGCGGAUAUUUAAGUCAGGGGUGAAAUCCCAGAGCUCAACUCUGGAACUGCCUUUGAUACUGGGUAUCUUGAGUAUGGAAGAGGUGAGUGGAAUUCCGAGUGUAGAGGUGAAAUUCGUAGAUAUUCGGAGGAACACCAGUGGCGAAGGCGGCUCACUGGUCCAUUACUGACGCUGAGGUGCGAAAGCGUGGGGAGCAAACAGGAUUAGAUACCCGCGUAGUCCCUGUCUCUUAUAC
rnacentral:rRNA from 1 species